CAAUAGCGUAUAUUAAAGUUGUUGCAGUUAAAAAGCUCGUAGUUGGAUUUCUGGCUGGAGCGAUCGGUCCGCCCCGCAAGGGGUGUGUACUAGCGUCGUCUCCGACCAUCCUUGUGGGAACUGUGCGGCCGUUAACUCGGUUGUAUAUGGGAACACAUCGUUUACUGUGAAAAAAUUAGAGUGUUUAAAGCAGGCUUAAGCCGUUGAAUACAUUAGCAUGGAAUAAUAAGAUAAGACUUGGGUCAUUAUUUUGUUGGUUUGCGGAUCGAGGUAAUGAUUAAUAGGGAUAGUUGGGGGUAUUCAUAUUUAAUUGUCAGAGGUGAAAUUCUUGGAUUUAUGAAAGAUGAACUUAGGCGAAAGCAUUUACCAAGGAUGUUUUCAUUAAUCAAGAACGAAAGUUAGGGGAUCGAAGACGAUCAGAUACCAU
rnacentral:rRNA from 1 species